CUCUUUUCGUUUAUUUGAAAAGUAUAACCUGCCCACUGAAUAAUUUUGAAGGGCCGCGGUAAUUUGACCGUGCAAAGGUAGCAUAAUCAUUAGUCUCUUAAUUAGGGGCUGGAAUGAAUGGUUGGACGAGAUAUAUACUGUCUUAUAAUUUGAUUUAGAAUUUAAUUAUUAAGUAAAAAAGCUUAAAUGUUAUUAUGGGACGAGAAGACCCUAUAGAGUUUAAUAAUCAAUUUUGUUUUAUUUGUUUGUUUAUUAAAUUAUGAAUUUGAAUUAUUUUGUUGGGGUGAUGGAAAGAUAAGGAAAACUCUUUUUAUUGAUUAAUAUUAAUAUAUAGAUUUUUGAUCCAUUAAUAGUGAUUAUAAGACUAAAUUACC
rnacentral:rRNA from 1 species